UAUACUUUGCAACUUUUUGUUGCGUUGCCUAGCAACAAGCUAGCGGCAUGCCAGAAGCGCGUGCAUACGUCAUGCGCCAAACAAGCCGCAGGAGGGAGCGAGGCCGGCUGCGCAUGUCAAGCUCGCGUGGUCGGCGACCCGUCUCUGGAUGUAGGCCGUUCUUUGGGCGCCCGGCGUUCUCUUGUGUUCCGUCUGCAUUUCGACACGGCACCGCUGCACUACUGGACUACAGCAAGGAAAUAAUGCCCGGGAAGGGAGGGAUGCUUGAAAACCGGAUGUCUUCAGAUUUUAUGACAUUGUUUGUGAGGAGCCUUUGCUGCGAAAUGUACGUAAAAGUGACUUUAUCUGUAAUGCUGCUCAUUCACCACUUACGCACGUUUCGCCUCUACACGCAAUACUCCUGUUAUGUCAAUAUACCAAAAUGAUACAUGCUUGUAAUUUGCUUUCUUUCACCUGAUGGCAUCCGGUGGAGCUUCGUACGGCAACGACUGCUGCUGACCUGGUGCCCCAACUUCGGAUGAAUGCAGAUGAAGCCCGGAACGAGCACUUAUAUAGCGCAAAAUAAACAUUUCAUCAUUUCAGAA